UCCUUCUAAAGUGCACAAAAUUAUUUUGAGAGUUGUUCUUAUGGUGCCAGUUGAUUAGACCGUAUUAUUUAUCUUAUUUCGCAAAGGAGAGAAACUGAGUCCGAGGGAUGUCAACAUGCCAAAUCCAUGAAAUAUUCGUGGGCUGGAAUUCUAGCUGCCUGAAAAAAGACACUCCUCUCGAAAGACCUCACAAUCAUAUCCAUGGGAUUAUAGCACUGGGCUCUCCAGAUGGUGCUACAGGAAGAGCUCCAGAAAUUUUACAAGGCUAGAAAUGACACUUGUAGGCUUUAAGCCUAUACUGUGAAAGACAAAGAAAAUGGAAAAAGUGUUCUUUCACGGACACUUACAAGUCCUCUAUUCAAGGCCCACCACAGAGACACAGGAAUGGAACUCAGAAUCACAAACAAAGAAACCUCGGUCCAAGAAAGAAAAUGAUCUUUAAAAAGACCCUCGUUUCAUGCUUGCCGAUGCUGAGACAAUCGGCUCUGGAGGAUAUUUGGAGACACCGAUUAAAAGAAAUGUGGUAGCCCAAGACCCAAGCAAGGAUAGGAUUUCCCAGACAUUCCCAGGGGAGACAAUCCCAUGUGCUUUCCUUCUGAUGUCACAUCAGAAUCUGAAGGCUGCUAGAGAAGGGAGAGGCACAUGCAAGUGCAUCCCAUGCUGAUUGUUGUUGAAAUACCUGGAAAGAAACUGGCAAAGACUAUCCAAGAGCCAAGGAGCAUCAACAUUUGGCUUCAGAGAUGCUGCUAAAUCCUGAAUAAACAAGAGUGAACAAGCAAGGGAAAUUAGCUGUCAUGUGAGGAUACUCAAACAGUUUAUAAAGAGGUUCAUGCGGCAAGGAAUGGAGGCCUCCUGCCAACAGCCAUGUAAAGGAGUCAUCUAGGAAACAGAUUCUCCAGCCCCAGUCAGACCUUCAGAUAAUUACAGCCCCUACCAAUAUUCUGACUGCAGUGGAAGGAAAGACCCUGAACUAGAACCACCCAGGUAAGAUAAUCCUGGAUUCCUGACCUAGAGAAACUCUGAGAUAGUAUUUGUUGUUUAAAGCCACAUCUUUGUGGGACAAUGUAUUAAGCAUAACUAAUACAUGUGAUUAGGGAAGCUUUUAAUAAGAGGUUAACAGAUUAGCAGAGACCAGAAUGAAAAAGGGGAAUGAGCCAGGUAAAUAUAUGUGUGAAGAAUGCUUAAAGUAGAGGGGAUAGAACUGGCAUAGGUCCUGUGGUUAGAACAAGCUUCAUAUUUUUCAAGGAAAAUUGCAGGACUUGGAAAUGGGCAAGAGAUACCCAAGUAUCCAUUCAGUGGAGGGCUGAGCAUUGUCUAGGAUAUCCUCUGGGGAUAUCUGAUUAUAUUGAGAUGUUUCUCUUUAACUGAAUUUCUAUUUUCUAAGUUAUUUUACUUGUGGAAAACUGACAGUAACGCAAAUGAUCCUCCUUAAAGAAAUACAAUGAAUUUUGUCUAGUACAGAUGUGACGGAAUUCUACCCUGUAGAAAAGAGAGUCCCAAACAAUACAUUUUAAGCAGCUCUAUGGAAAUAUAAUUCGUAUACCAUACAAUUCAUCCAUUUAAAGCUUAAAAUUCAGUUUUGUUCAGUAUGUGCACAGGGUUGUACAAACAGCACAACAAUCUAAUUUUAGACCGUUUUAUUGUUCCUCCUCAUUCCUUCAAAGAAACCCCAUCCCCAUUAGCAGCUCCUUCUCAUUCUUUUUCAUGUUUUUUCCCCCAUCUUCCAAGCCCUAGGCAACCACUAAUCUACCCUCUGUCUCUAUAGAUUUGCUUAUUCUGAAAAUUUUAUGUAAAUGUAAACCUACAGUAUGCAGUCUUUCAAAACUGAUUUCUGUCACUUAGCAUAAUGGUUUCAAGGUUCAUCUAUGCUGUAACAUGUAUCAAUACUUCAUUCUUUAU